rnacentral:rRNA from 1 species
UACGUAGGGUGCAAGCGUUAAUCGGAAUUACUGGGCGUAAAGCGUGCGCAGGCGGUUCGUUGUGUCGGCGGUGAAAGCCCCGGGCUUAACCUGGGAAUGGCCGUUGAAACUGGCGAACUGGAGUGUGGCAGAGGGGGGUGGAAUUCCGCGUGUAGCAGUGAAAUGCGUAGAUAUCAGGAGGAACACCGGUGGCGAAGGCGGCUUUCUGGACAGACACCGACGCUGAGGCACGAAAGCUAGGGGAGCAAACAGG